rnacentral:rRNA from 1 species
UACGGGGGGGGCAAGCGUUGUUCGGAAUUACUGGGCGUAAAGGGCGCGUAGGUGGCCAACUAAGUCAGACAUGAAAUCCCUCGGCUUAACCGGGGAACUGCGUCUGAUACUGGAUGGCUUGAGUGUGGGAGAGGGAUGCGGAAUUCCAGGUGUAGCGGUGAAAUGCGUAGAUAUCUGGAGGAACACCGGUGGCGAAGGCGGU